GGGGAUUUAGCUCAGUGGUUCCAGCAUAUGCCUCACAAGCACAAGGUGCCAAGUUCAAUCCCCG
rnacentral:tRNA from 1 species